GAGGGUGGAGCUCAGUGGUGAAGCACAGGCUUAGCAUGCAUGAGGCCCUGGGUUCGAUCCUCAGCACCCCA
rnacentral:tRNA from 1 species